rnacentral:rRNA from 1 species
AGUUCCAGUAGCGUAUAUUAAACUUGUUGCUGUUAAAAAGCUCGUAGUUGGAUCUCCGCCAAAGGACGACGGGUCCGCCCUCUGAGUGAGUAUCUGGCUCGGCCUGGGCAUCUUCCUGGAGAACGUAGCUGCACUUGACUGCGUGGUGCGGUAUCCGCGACUUUUACUUUGAGGAAAUUGGAGUGUUUCAAGCAGGCACGCGCCUUGAGUACAUUAGCAUGGAAUAAUAAGAUAGGACCUCGGUUCUAUUUUGUUGGUUUCUAGAGCUGAGGUAAUGAUUAAUAGGGAUAGUUGGGGACAUUCGUAUUUAACUGUCAGAGGUGAAAUUCUUGGAUUUGUUAAAGACGGAGUACUGCGAAACCACUUGCCAAGGAUGUUUUCA